rnacentral:rRNA from 1 species
UAAAAGUCGUAACAAGGUUUCCGUAGGUGAACCUGCGGAAGGAUCAUUAAAAAUUUAAUUGUUUACACGUUUACGUUUAACAUAUACAACUAACCAACUUAAUUAUGUCAACAACAACAACCAAAAAUCAAAACUUUCAACAACGGAUCUCUUGGUUCUCGCAUCGAUGAAGAACGCAGCGAAAUGCGAUAAGUAAUAUGAAUUGCAGAUUUUCGUGAAUCAUCGAAUCUUUGAACGCACAUUGCACCUUGUGGUAUUCCACAAGGUAUGCCUGUUUGAGCGUCAUUUCUCCCUCAACCCCCGCGGGUUGGCGUUGAAUGGCACGAGCUCUUAGUCAGUCCAUUCGAAAAGUAUUUUUCUUGUGUUGUUAUUUUCUAAUUUAGUAGUGACAACCACACUAAAAACACAUUUUCCUCAAAUCAGGUAGGACUACCCGCUGAACUUAAGCAUA